GAUCAUGGCUCAGGACGAACGCUGGCGGCGUGCCUAACACAUGCAAGUCGAGCGGAGACAGUGAGUAGCUUGCUAUGAGCUGUUUUAGCGGCGGACGGGUGAGUAACGCGUGAGCAACCUUUCCCAGACAGGGGAAUAACACACCGAAAGGUGUACUAAUACCGCAUAAGACCACGGAAUCACAUGGUUCUGGGGUAAAAGAAUUAUCGGUUUGGGGUGGGCUCGCGUCCGAUUUAGGUAGUUGGUGAGGUG
rnacentral:rRNA from 1 species